ACCUGCAGGGCCCGAGGAAAAAAACAUUACCACAGCAAGAGCACUGGCUCGCCCCUCUCCUUGCCCACGAAGUCACCGCCGCCGCCGCUGCCCAUGCUGGGCACUUCCGACGACCUACAGCGGCACGCAGUACGCUCCCGAGCUCCCCACGGUCUGCGCGUCCCUCUCCUCCGGCCAGAUUCUUGGCUCCCAUCCUGAACCGCCCGGUUGGAACCACCCCGUGGCUAGGGUUUCGGGCAGGGCUGCGCCGGCGCAUCUCCAGCGGCCCUAGGAGCAGGAUCUGUUGUACAAUUAGAGUCUGCAGUUUGCUUUCCAGGAGUAGGAGAUGGAUCUCUGUUCCUGUGUUUGGGGAAAAGAAAAUUCUGAAUUUGGCAACAAAAGUGUGAACCAUCACCAUUCAGUGUCAAAUUAUCUAAAGGUGUUGGCAUGGCCUAGUUUACCUCAUAAGAUGAGCACUGUAUUUAUUCCUCGCAAUGGACCUCAAUAGCGUGGUCGGAAUAAUCCAUUUCUUUCCGUUGAUUUACAACACAAGAUCCUUCAUUAUUGACAAAUGAUUCUGCACACCGGCUAGCACAAAAUCAGAAUUACUUUCUUCAGAUGGAGUUCUCUGGAUCAUCAGGAUCCUUCAUAUACACACCGGAAACUCAAAGCGAGAUAGCCACAGUUAUUCAGGGGGUUUUGCUUGGUCUUUUUCUACUUCCCUUGCUGUACAGAAGUUCUCUUCGAGUUUGGGUUUACUGUCGAACAUUGGGAAGCAACAAAUAGAAGCAAUUGAGGAACGAGAAAAUAGGAAGUAAUGAGAAAAGAAGAAAGUUUGUAUGACAUUAGUGGACCAGAUGAGUGCAGAAAUCUUAUCAUAAAUAUCUAUAUGUUUGCUAUAAAAAAAGAGCAAAUCUGAUGGUCUGUAUAAUUUUAAUUUUACUGGGAGAUGGAGUUCUCUGGAUCAUCAGGAUCAUUCAUAUACACACCUGAAACUCAAAGCGAGAUAGCCACAGUUAUUCAGGGGAUUUUGCUUGGUCUUUUUCUACUUCCCUUGUUGUACAAAAGUUCUCUUCGAGUUUGGGUUUACUGUCGAACAUUGGGCAAGCAACAAACAGAAGCAAUUGAGAAACAAGCAGAAAAAAGAGCAGGUUUCCGUCAUAGAUUUAUCUUCUUUUGAUGAUUCGGCGACAGUUUGCUUCCGUCUUCUUGUGAAUUCUUCGUUACGCUCAUGUAUCAAUGUUUGCCUUUUUCCUCCUGCGACACAAUUCCUGUGUUUUGUAGUUAAUUUGGAGCUUCUAACUUCCUCUUCGGUUGCGACAUAUUCAGGGUUCUCCAUUGCAAUUGAAUCCUUUGAUGGUGUGUUGCGUUUCAAUUGGCGACGAACUUCAAUUUGUUCUACUCUUGCUUUCUUCCGUUCUGGUUGCAUGUUUUCGUAUUUUUUUUCUUGUGUGCGUUGUGUCGCCUUUUGUUCUGGUGUCUUUUCUGAAUAUUUCUUUUGAUGAUAGGCUUCGCGCCUUUUUUUCAGUUUGUCCUGCCUUUCUUCCUCGGUCAUCCGUUCAUUCCGCUCUUUAUUUUUCCUUUUUAUUUUUUCCUUUGACUCCUGCCUUUCUUCAUUUGUCAUCCGUGCAUACCGAUCUCUAUCUCUCUUUCUUUUUUGUUCUUUGGCUGCAUCCAUUUGCUCCAAAUAAGUUUCAUGUAUGAGAUUUUGUAUAAUGUAAGAAUUCCAAAUUAAUGAUAUAAUAGAUUUAAUCUGUACAAGGCAGUAUUAUAUUUUUAACAUAGCAUCCUGAAAAAUAUAUAUUAAUAGAACGCUCAUCCAUACAGGUUUAAAGGGGCAGUCUGGUGAUAUGAGUAUUUGUACAAACUAUCUAGGACUUCAAGUUGACAUGCGCAUUUUUUUAUUUACCUACGAACUACAGAUGACAUCGAGUAGAUCGAUUAGUGCUAUCUCCAGAUUUCUAUCACCAGAUUUCUAUCAUCAUGUUACUGCAUUUAUGUUCAUAUGAGUUUCACUGGGAGAUGCAACAUAGUGUUUUUGAGUGGGCAUGAGACUUGGUUCAUAUGGAUAUAAACUGGUAGUACUUAUAUAGCUUGACAGUGUUAUAUGGUUGCUGGUUAACAUUUAGGCUUACAUCACAUAUGCAUGUUAAUGACCAGAUGCCAUAACUGAUAUGUUUUGCUCUAUUAUAACUCAGCAAAUUUUAGCAAAUUUCUGAUUGUAUCUCAGAUUAUUCUAUGGUAGGCAUCACCUUCAAGUAUAUACAAGUUAUCUGAUAAGUAUCAUAUAGUGUUGCAGACAGCGUACCUCAGAUGGAACACGGGCUGUCCAGCGAUGUGUUAGUUUCAACGGCUCGUAUGCUGGUGUAUAAAGGGCACGACUUGUUGUGCGAAGUUGACGUACAAAGUAGCUAAUCCAGGGGAAUCUAUGUCCUAUUUUUAUAAAGGAGCAUCAUUGUGUAUCUAAUUAGAUUAGGAUUCGGACUCUUGCAUCACCUGUAUGUAAUUAGAUUAGAAUUCGGACUCUUGCACCAUGUGUAUGUAAUUAGAUUAGAAUUCGGACUCUUGCUUAGCAUAGCUGUAAUUUGAUUAGAGUACGGACUCAUGCAAAGCAAAGACAGCUUCGACUGCAAACACUGCUGCAACAGUGUACAGUAUACAGUGAACAUUAUACAGUUGAGAACAGUGUAUAGUGUAAAGUGAUCCAAUAGGACUUGAGCAUUAUUUAAUGUAGAAUCAUGCUACUAUUUGAGUUGCUUAAAUAAAUUGGUUUGAUUUA